UACGUAGGGUGCGAGCGUUAAUCGGAAUUACUGGGCGUAAAGCGUGCGUAGGCGGUUCGUUAAGUUCGUUGUGAAAGCCCCGGGCUCAACCUGGGAAUGGCAAUGGAAACUGGCGGGCUGGAGUAUGGCAGAGGGGGUGGAAUUCCGCGUGUAGCAGUGAAAUGCGUAGAGAUCGGCAGGAACACCCAGGGGAAACCGAGCCGACUGGGCAUCUACUGACGCUGAGGUGCGAGAGCGUGGGGAGCGAACCGG
rnacentral:rRNA from 1 species